CGUGUACUCCCUCCAUCCAAAAAUACUUGUCAUUGAAAUGGAUGUAUCUAGAUGUAUUUUAGUUCUAGACACAUCCAUUUUGAUGACAAGUAAUUCCGGACAGAGGGAGUACUUG
rnacentral:pre_miRNA from 1 species